ACAACUCUUAGCGGUGGAUCACUCGG
rnacentral:ncRNA from 3 species